GUCCACGCCGUAAACGAUGUCUACUAGCCGUUGGGACUUUUGUCUUAGUGGCGCAGCUAACGCGAUAAGUAGACCGCCUGGGGAGUACGGCCGCAAGGUUAAAACUCAAAUGAAUUGACGGGGGCCCGCACAAGCGGUGGAGCAUGUGGUUUAAUUCGAUGCAACGCGAAGAACCUUACCAGGCCUUGACAUCCUCGGAACUUUCUAGAGAUAGAUUGGUGCCUUCGGGAACCGAGUGACAGG
rnacentral:rRNA from 1 species